rnacentral:rRNA from 1 species
CACGUAGGCGGACCGGAAAGUUGGAGGUGAAAUCCCAGGGCUCAACCUUGGAACUGCCUUCAAAACUAUCGGUCUGGAGUUCGAGAGAGGUGAGUGGAAUUCCGAGUGUAGGGGUGAAAUUCGUAGAUAUUCGGAGGAACACCAGUGGCGAAGGCGGCUCUCUGGACUGUAACUGACGUUGAGGCUCGAAAGCGUGGGGAGCAAACA